rnacentral:rRNA from 1 species
GACGAACGCUGGCGGCGUGCUUAACACAUGCAAGUCGAACGGAAAGGCCCUGAUCUUGUGGGGUGCUCGAGUGGCGAACGGGUGAGUAACACGUGAGUAACCUGCACUUGACUUUGGGAUAACUUCAGGAAACAGGGGAUAAUACCGGAUAGGAGCUCCUGCUGCAUGGUGGGGGUUGGAAAGUUUCGGCGGUUGGGGAUGGACUCGCGGCUUAUCAGCUUGAUGGUGGAGUAGUGGCUUACCAAGGCUUUGACGGGUAGCCGGCCUUAGAGCGUGACCGGCCACAAUGGUACUGAGAUACGGCCCAGACUCCUACGGUAGGCAGCAGUGGGGAAUAUUGCACAAUGGGCGGAAGCCUGAUGCAGCAACGCCGCGUGCGGGAUGACGGCCUUCGGGUUGUAAACCGCUUUCGCCUGUGACGAAGCGUGAGUGACGGUAAUUGGUAAAGAAGCACCGGCUAACUACGUG